rnacentral:rRNA from 1 species
AUGUCUUCCUCUGCCUCCUUCCAGCCGACGCUCAGCGGUGGAGUCCUGGAGAAGCUCUCCCGCACCAACUAUGUUCUGUGGCGAACACAGAUCACGCCGCAGCUGCGGGGCGCUGGCGUCUUCCACUACGUCGACGGCACGGCAACCGAACCGGUCAAAGUCCUUGUCACCAAGGACGCCGCCGGGAAGGAGACCGCUGGGCCGAAUCCUCUUCAUCCGAUCUGGGUGAGGGAGGACCAACAGGUUCUUGGAUGCCUGAUCCAAAACCUCUCCAAGGAGGUGCUCGUCACGGUGACUACGAUCACCAUGGUGCGGGAACUCUGGGUGGCACUGGCAAGCAUGUUCUUGUCGCAGUCACUCAGCCACAUCAACAACAUCUGCACAACGCUGAUCAACGCGCAGAAGGGAAAUCAAUCGGUAGCCUCCUACUUCGCCGCCAUGCGAGGUCUUGCCGAUGAACUCGCCGCGGCCGACAAGUCCAUCCAGGAUGACGAGCUCAUGUCCUACAUCAUCCACGGGCUAGACCAAGAUUACCAGCCCCUGGUCUAUGCUUUGGACGCCCGAGCUACUCCGGUAACCCUUGACGAGCUUUUUGCCAUGCUUAGUAACUUUGACCAGCGCAUGGCACAGUACCAUGGCUCCAGUGGCGGCAUCAGGUCGUCGGCCAACUCUGCUUCCAGGGGCCGCGGCGGCGGCCCUCGUUCGCGUGGCUCUCCCCGUGGCAAGGGGAGGUCUGGAUCCGGCGGUGGUGGCUACUCCAACAACCCUCGCGGCGGCGGACGCUCCGGCAGCUCCAAAGGACGUCGCGGUGGCGGCUCCAACAAAUCCUGUCCGGACAUGCCUCGCUGCCAAAUCUGCGGCAAGCCUGGUCAUACGACGAAGGACUGCUGGUACCGCUACGAGGAGGAUGAUGACUCCUCGCAAGAUGAAGAAAAGGUUGCCGCGGCGGCCGAUGGUUCCUAUGGAGUUGACACAAAUUGGUAUGUCGACAGUGGUGCCACCAACCACAUCACCAACGAGCUCGAGAAGGUCACCAUGAAGGAGAAAUACCGUGGCAAAGAUCAAAUCCACACGGCCAGUGGUGAAGGAUCAGGCAACGAACAAAAUCCUCUAUCGAGGUAG